rnacentral:rRNA from 1 species
AUUGAACGCUGGCGGCAUGCUUUACACAUGCAAGUCGAACGGUAACAGGCCUUCGGGUGCUGACGAGUGGCGAACGGGUGAGUAAUGCAUCGGAACGUGCCCAGAGGUGGGGGAUAACGCAGCGAAAGCUGUGCUAAUACCGCAUGUGAUCUGAGGAUGAAAGCGGGGGACCAGGCAGCAAUGUUUGGCCUCGCCUUUGGAGCGGCCGAUGUCAGAUUAGGUAGUUGGUGGGGUAAAGGCCUACCAAGCCGACGAUCUGUAGCUGGUCUGAGAGGACGACCAGCCACACUGGGACUGAGACACGGCCCAGACUCCUACGGGAGGCAGCAGUGGGGAAUUUUGGACAAUGGGCGCAAGCCUGAUCCAGCAAUGCCGCGUGCGGGAAGAAGGCCUUCGGGUUGUAAACCGCUUUUGUACGGAACGAAAAGGCUCUGGCUAAUACCUGGGGCUGAUGACGGUACCGUAAGAAUAAGCACCGGCUAACUACGUG